GGAAUAUUGGACAAUGGGGGCAACCCUGAUCCAGCCAUGCCGCGUGGGUGAUGAAGGCCUUAGGGUUGUAAAGCCCUUUCGCGCGCGACGAUGCUGCCGGUCGCGCGAGAAGGAGCCUCGGCUAACUACGUGCCAGCAGCCGCGGUAAGACGGAGGAGGCAAGCGUUGUUCGGAAUUACUGGGCGUAAAGCGUGCGUAGGCGGCUUGGUUAGUCGGAGGUGAAAUCCCGGGGCUCAACUCCGGAACUGCCUCCGAGACGGCCAGGCUUGAGUGAAGGAGAGGAGAGCGGAAUUCCCAGUGUAGAGGUGAAAUUCGUAGAUAUUGGGAAGAACACCGGUGGCGAAGGCGGCUCUCUGGCCUUUUUCUGACGCUGAGGCACGAAAGCGUGGGGAGCAAA
rnacentral:rRNA from 1 species